rnacentral:tRNA from 1 species
GGAGGGGUCGCAUAGAGGUCUAGUGCAGUGGUUUCGAAAACCACCGUGCCGCAAGGCACCGAGAGUUCGAAUCUCUCCCCCUCCGCCC